CCCGGUGAGACUCCGGGACGGUCGCGCCACCGUGAGCGAACGGGCCUCUCUCCGCGGGCGCCGGUCGUGAGUCGGA
rnacentral:ncRNA from 2 species